rnacentral:rRNA from 1 species
UACGUAGGGGGCAAGCGUUGUCCGGAUUUAUUGGGCGUAAAGAGCGUGUAGGCGGCCUGAAAGGUCAGCUGUGAAAACUCGAGGCUCAACCUCGAGACGUCGGUUGAAACCAUCUGGCUAGAGUCCGGAAGAGGAGAGUGGAAUUCCUGGUGUAGCGGUGAAAUGCGCAGAUAUCAGGAAGAACACCCGUGGCUAAGGCGGCUCUCUAGUACGGUACUGACGCUGAGACGCGAAAGCGUGGGGAGCGAACAG